UACGAAGGGGGCUAGCGUUGUUCGGAAUUACUGGGCGUAAAGCGCACGUAGGCGGGUUGUUUAAGUCAGGGGUGAAAUCCUGGAGCUCAACUCCAGAACUGCCUUUGAUACUGGCAACCUAGAGACUGGAAGAGGUUAGUGGAAUUCCCAGUGUAGAGGUGAAAUUCGUAGAUAUUGGGAAGAACACCAGCGGCGAAGGCGGCUAACUGGUCCAGCACUGACGCUGAGGUGCGAAAGCGUGGGGAGCAAACAGG
rnacentral:rRNA from 1 species